rnacentral:rRNA from 1 species
CACGUAGGGUGCGAGCGUUGUCCGGAAUUAUUGGGCGUAAAGAGCGCGCAGGCGGCAUACCAAGUUGGACGUGAAAUUUUAGGGCUUAACCCUAAAGGGUCGUCCAAAACUGGUAAGCUAGAGUGCAGGAGAGGAAAGCGGAAUUCCCGGUGUAGUGGUGAAAUGCGUAGAUAUCGGGAGGAACACCAGAGGCGAAGGCGGCUUUCUGGCCUGUAACUGACGCUGAGGCGCGAAGGCUGGGGUAGCGAACAGG